AUUGAACGCUGGCGGCAUGCCUUACACAUGCAAGUCGAAUGGUAACAGGUCUUCGGAUGCUGACGAGUGGCGAACGGGUGAGUAAUACAUCGGAACGUGCCCGAGAGUGGGGGAUAACGAGGCGAAAGCUUUGCUAAUACCGCAUACGAUCUCAGGAUGAAAGCAGGGGACCGCAAGGCCUUGCGCUCACGGAGCGGCCGAUGGCAGAUCAGGUAGUUGGUGGGAUAAAAGCUUACCAAGCCGACGAUCUGUAGCUGGUCUGAGAGGACGACCAGCCACACUUGGACUGAGAAACGGCCCAGACUCCUACGGGAGGCAGCAGUGGGGAAUUUUGGACAAUGGGCGCAAGCCUGAUCCAGCCAUGCCGCGUGCAGGAUGAAGGCCUUCGGGUUGUAAACUGCUUUUGUACGGAGCGAAAAGACUCCUUCUAAUAAAGGGGGUCCAUGACGGUACCGUAAGAAUAAGCACCGGCUAACUACGUGCCAGCCGCCGCCGUAACAC
rnacentral:rRNA from 1 species